GUGCCAGCCGCCGCGGUAAUACGGAGGGGGCUAGCGUUGUUCGGAAUUACUGGGCGUAAAGCGCACGUAGGCGGAUCAGUCAGUUAGAGGUGAAAUCCCAGGGCUCAACCCUGGAACUGCCUUUAAUACUGCUGAUCUGGAGGAUGAGAGAGGCGAGUGGAAUUCCGAGUGUAGAGGUGAAAUUCGUAGAUAUUCGGAGGAACACCAGUGGCGAAGGCGGCUCGCUGGCUCAUUUCUGACGCUGAGGUGCGAAAGCGUGGGGAGCAAACAGGAUUAGAAACCCCCGUAGUCC
rnacentral:rRNA from 1 species